GUCCGUGUUACGUCCGCGCAACCGGAGAAGGUGGGGAUGCGUCAAGUCAGCCGGCUCUUACAUCCUGGGCGACACACACGCUACAAUGGACGCGACAACGGGCAUGCCAAGCCGCAAGGCGGAGCGAAUCCCAUCAAAGGCGUCCUCAGUUCAGAUCGCAGUCUGCAACCCGACUGCGUGAAGGCGGAGUUGCUAGUACCGCGGGUCAGCACACCGCGGUGAAUACGUUCCCGGGCCUUGUACACACCGCCCGUCACGUCAUGAAAGCCGGCAACACCUGAAGCCACUGGCCGAACCCGCAAGGGACGGAGGUGUCGAGGGUGGGGCGGGUAAUUGGGACGAAGUCGUAACAAGGUAAC
rnacentral:rRNA from 1 species